AUUGAACGCUGGCGGCAGGCCUAACACAUGCAAGUCGAACGGUAACAGAAAGCAGCUUGCUGCUUUGCUGACGAGUGGCGGACGGGUGAGUAAUGUCUGGGAAACUGCCUGAUGGAGGGGGAUAACUACUGGAAACGGUAGCUAAUACCGCAUAACGUCGCAAGACCAAAGAGGGGGACCUUCGGGCCUCUUGCCAUCGGAUGUGCCCAGAUGGGAUUAGCUAGUAGGCGGGGUAAAGGCUCACCUAGGCGACGAUCCCUAGCUGGUCUGAGAGGAUGACCAGCCACACUGGAACUGAGACACGGUCCAGACUCCUACGGGAGGCAGCAGUGGGGAAUAUUGCACAAUGGGCGCAAGCCUGAUGCAGCCAUGCCGCGUGUAUGAAGAAGGCCUUCGGGUUGUAAAGUACUUUCAGCGGGGAGGAAGGGAGUAAAGUUAAUACCUUUGCUCAUUGACGUUACCCGCAGAAGAAGCACCGGCUAACUCCGUG
rnacentral:rRNA from 1 species